rnacentral:rRNA from 1 species
CCUACGGGAGGCAGCAGUAGGGAAUAUUGCUCAAUGGGGGAAACCCUGAAGCAGCAACGCCGCGUGGAGGAUGACGGUUUUCGGAUUGUAAACUCCUUUUGUUAGAGAAGAUAAUGACGGUAUCUAACGAAUAAGCACCGGCGAACUCCGUGCCAGCAGCCGCGGUAAUACGGAGGGUGCAAGCGUUACUCGGAAUCACUGGGCGUAAGGAGCGCGUAGGCGGGAUAGCAAGUCAGAUGUGAAAUCCUAUGGCUUAACCAGAGAACUGCAUUUGAAACUGUUAUUCUAGAGUAUGGGAGAGGUAGGUGGAAUUCUUGGUGUAGGGGUAAAAUCCGUAGAGAUCAAGAGGAAUACUCAUUGCGAAGGCGACCUGCUAGAACAUAACUGACGCUGAUGCGCGAAAGCGUGGGGAGCAAACAGGAUUAGAUACCCUAGUAGUC